UUUCUUUUUUUUCUUUGUCUUCUAUCUGUAACUCAGAAAUGGAAACCAAAACCCACCAUUUUUUUCAACAAUGGAUCUAUGGAAACUAUGAAGAAGGAUAUAUCAACAAUUUCAUCAAAGCUGUACAAGAUCUUGUCAAAUAGAGUCAAGUUGCAAAAUAAGAUCCGAUGUAGAAUCCUAGUUUGGUGAACCUGUUCCCAGGUAUUCUUAUUUGACUAUCUUCUCUGGUUUAAUUUGGAAUGAAUUGAAGAGUAGUCAUUGCAGGUUCUCUCUCAAAAGGAUUUAGCCGACGCUUCUUUCACCAUGUUAAACGAAAAUCUAAUGAUGCUGCUCAUUUUCUAGCCAAUAAUGGACUAUCUUGUAAUACUGACACUAAUUGGCAAUUGUCUCUUCUCCAGCUGGCGAACUCCUGUCCCACUAUCUCUAUCUGCAACGCCAUUGUUGCUAAUGAUAUGUGGAGUUGGUGUUGUUUGGUCAUUUGAAGUGAAGCCAAGUAGCAUUUAUGGAGCUUAGCUGUCAAAGUUGCUGAGAGCAGCUUGG
rnacentral:lncRNA from 1 species